UGACAUGAAAACAUCCAGCAGGUUCAGACAUACGGAGGGGGCUGGAACAAGUAUGGCUGAAUGAUGCUUGUUCCCUCAAAAAAUGGGACAAGAUUGAUUGCAAUCUUGUCCCAUUUUUCCCACAAGAGGCUCCCAGGUAAAGGGAGGGGUGGCAGUGCCAACCUGUGUGCUGCCCCAACCACUCCAGCUGUGCGUGCCCUGGUGCACCACCCUUGCCUGGCAUCUCUGCACUCUCGCUCCUUGGUGACUGAAGAGUCUCCCAAGAGCUAAGGGGACACUUCAUCCCCACCAAGCACUGCCACCCGCCUCCAGAGGAUGCUGUAUGUCAGUGAGGGGGUGCCCAGCCAUGAGGGUUCCCCCU